UACAGAGGUCUCAAGCGUUGUUCGGAUUCAUUGGGCGUAAAGGGUGCGUAGGUGGCGCCGUAAGUCAGGUGUGAAAUUUCGGAGCUUAACUCCGAAACUGCAUUCGAUACUGCGGUGCUUGAGGACUGGAGAGGAGACUGGAAUUCAUGGUGUAGCAGUGAAAUGCGUAGAGAUCAUGAGGAAGACCAGUGGCGAAGGCGGGUCUCUGGACAGUUCCUGACGCUGAGGCACGAAAGCCAGGGGAGCAAACGGG
rnacentral:rRNA from 1 species